ensembl:lncRNA
GGCGGAGUUGGGACCCGCAGUGCCCGCCCGCCAGCCCGCCCGCCGCUUUGGCUGCUAGCUCGGGCGGCCGAAGCUCUCGGCUCCCGGACUGGAGGCGCGCAGGCGGACAGGCAGGCGGGCGGGCGGCUGCAGCGCUGCUGCUGCGCGGCCGGGCUAGGGCUCGGACCGCGGGGCUGUUCCUGCUCUUUCCUGCAGACGCCGGGUUCUGCGGCGCGCCCGGGCCCUCCCUGCUCCCGAGGCGGCUGCGGCUGCGGCAGUGGAGGCUCCCGGCUCCCGGCCCUCGGAUCCCAGCUCCCCGUGUAGCCGCCCACCCCAGCGGGCCCCGGAGAACAAGGGAGCCCGGGGGCGACCCGCUCGGGGUUUGCGUGCGCCCCCGAGUCAUGGAGAGGGGCCGGUAAGGGGCGCACGGAGGCGCAGGAGGAGGAGGGGCCGAGAAGGAGGAGGAGGAGGAGAAGGAGGAAGAAUACGAGAGAUCUGAAAGGAGAGCCCGAGGAAGAGGAGGAGGAAGAGAGAUCCGAGAACAGGAGGAGGAGGAGGAGGCUGAGAGGGCCGAGGGCGGAGGAUGCCUCCGCUGCCGCCGCCGGCGCCCGCGGAUUCGGACAGAGCCUGAGACGGAGCGGGAUGGAGCCCGCGCUGGGCGCUGCAGCGGCUCCCGGCGCAGCCCAGACCAGGCAGGCUCCUGCCACAGAGAUCCCCAGGCCAUUGGACUCAUCCCCAGCAAGCACAGAGGGACCUUGUGUGGUGGCCAGGAAGUCAGGGAGUGUUGCCUUGGCCAGACCGUUCAGGAACAUGGGUGGAAGCCCGCCCAUCUCCUCGGAGGGACAGAGGUGAGGCCUGGCUUGGAGCGGUGGAAUCACAGCCCUCAGAACUGAAUGGUGCCUUAGAAGUCAUCUGGUCCAGGCCCCUUCCCUUCACUCUACGUGAAGAAACUGAGGCACUGAGAGUUUAAAUGACUUGUCCAUGGUCAUAGACCUAGCAAGUGUUUGAGGUGGGAUUUAGUAAGUAAUCUCUCCACUCCUCUUAUUUUGCAGGUGGGGAAACUGAGGCACAGAGAAGGGAUGUGAUCUCCUCAAGGUCACCAGGCUAGUAAGUAGGGCCAUAGAUUGAGAUCUGUGAGGGAUCUUAGAGGUCAGUUAAUCCAACUCCCUUCUCCCUUCCCCCAUUUUACUGAUGAAGAAACUGAAGUCUCCAAAGUCUAAGUGACUUACCUAAGGUCAUACAGGUAGUAGGUGUCAGGGUGUGAUUUGAACCCAGGUCUUCUGUCCUCCAAAUCAAUGGUCCUUCUAUGGUACCAUGAAGCCUUUCAUUUAGCAGAGAUGAGAUUCAAACCCCUGUCCUCCAUGUCUAGUCACCCCAGCGGUUGGGGACAUUCCUUCCAAAAGAAUUCCUACCGGGUUGGGCUGUGUGUCUGCCACAUCUGGAUUGCCGGCUCCAAACCUCUGGUGGUGAGGAGCCCUUUCAGUGGCCCUGAGGAUGGGGGUGGAGGCUCCUCUGUGAGUCGGCUUCCUGAGCUCGCAGAGCUAUCUGCUGCUUAGUCCUUGGGGGAAGGGGGAAUAAGGCAUCUUUCUGGGUCUUUGAGAUGAGUCUCUGGACAGUUGCUCUUUUGCUGCUGGCUGAAGUGGGCACCGGGACCCAGAUGUUUGAGGAGGGCUCAAACUCUGAGGGAUCUCAAGUUCUAAAGCUUCUAUCUCCCAGUAACCUAGAUUUGGAGAGCCAAUCUGACCCAGAGCCAGGUGGGCGAACAAGACCUGAGGGGCCCUGAAAUAAGGGAGAGGAGCAGCCAAUCUCUUAGUCAGAAGAAACAGGUUCAGCUGGCUUAGCCCUUGGCUCAGACUUGGCCUUCCAGGGCCCUCUGCUGUCCUGGCUCCAUGUCAGCCGACUGGGGGGGGGCAGCAAGUCAAUGAGAUAGCAGCAUGGGGCAUUCACUCUGUGGCCAUUUGGGAUUUGACUGGGGAAUCUGGUAGGGCAGGAACCCUUCUAGAGCCCAAGGAAUGGAUUUCCCAGCCCCAAAUUCCUUCCAGGAAGGGCUGUCUUUCAUUUAUCUGCUCCCCCAAAGCCUGGUCCAGUACCCCUCAUAGCUCCUGUUUUUUUUCGGCUUUCCUCAUAACAGCCCUAGGGUGGGGAUGGCAGAUGUGGAAACCAGUGCUCAGAAGGUUUCAGUCAAAGCAUUAUUUUUAAUACAUGCUUAAUAAAUCCUGAAAGAAAUAAGAUGUAUUGUGGUAU